rnacentral:rRNA from 1 species
GACGAACGCUGGCGGCGUGCUUAACACAUGCAAGUCGAACGAAGAGCGACGGAAGCUUGCUUCUAUCAAUCUUAGUGGCGAACGGGUGAGUAACGCGUAAUCAACCUGCCCUUCAGAGGGGGACAACAGUUGGAAACGACUGCUAAUACCGCAUACGAUCUAAUCUCGGCAUCGAGGAUGGAUGAAAGGUGGCCUCUACAUGUAAGCUAUCACUGAAGGAGGGGAUUGCGUCUGAUUAGCUAGUUGGAGGGGUAACGGCCCACCAAGGCGAUGAUCAGUAGCCGGUCUGAGAGGAUGAACGGCCACAUUGGGACUGAGACACGGCCCAGACUCCUACGGGAGGCAGCAGUGGGGAAUCUUCCGCAAUGGACGAAAGUCUGACGGAGCAACGCCGCGUGAGUGAUGACGGCCUUCGGGUUGUAAAGCUCUGUUAAUCGGGACGAAAGGCCUUCUUGCGAAUAGUGAGAAGGAUUGACGGUACCGGAAUAGAAAGCCACGGCUAACUACGU